rnacentral:rRNA from 1 species
UACAGGGGGUGCAAACGUUGCUCGGAAUCAUUGGGCGUAAAGCGCACGUAGGCGGUUCGUUAUGUCGGAUGUGAAAGCCCUUGGCUUAACCGAGGAAGUGCAUCCGAAACUGGCGAGCUAGAGUACGAAAGAGGAUCGCGGAAUUCCUGGUGUAGCGGUGAAAUGCGCAGAUAUCUGGAGGAACACCGGUGGCGAAGGCGGCAUCCUGGACCAAUUCUGACGCUGAGGAGCGAAAGCCAGGGGAGCAAACGGG